rnacentral:rRNA from 1 species
UACAGAGGUCUCAAGCGUUGUUCGGAUUCAUUGGGCGUAAAGGGUGCGUAGGCGGCUCGGUAAGUCGGGCGUGAAAUCUCGGAGCUUAACUCCGAAACUGCAUUCGAUACUGCCGUGCUUGAGGACUGGAGAGGAGACUGGAAUUUACGGUGUAGCGGUGAAAUGCGUAGAUAUCGGAAGGAAGACCAGUGGCGAAGGCGGGUCUCUGGACAGUUCCUGACGCUGAGGCACGAAGGCCAGGGGAGCAAACGGG